AUACGGAGGGUGCAAGCGUUAUUUGGAAUCACUGGGCGUAAAGGACGCGUAGGCGGGUUGGCAAGUCAGAUGUGAAAUCCUACAGCUUAACUGUAGAACUGCAUUUGAAACUGCUAACCUAGAGUAUGGGAGGGGGAGAUGGAAUUAGUGGUGUAGGGGUAAAAUCCGUAGAUAUCACUAGGAAUACCGAAAGCGAAGGCGAUCUCCUGGAACAUAACUGACGCAAAGGCGUGAAAGCGUGGGGAGCAAACAGGAUUAGAAACCCUAGUAGUCC
rnacentral:rRNA from 1 species